GUGCAGCUAACACAGGUAGGAGCUGCAUGAGAGAUUGCGGGGGUCCCCAGAAAUCAGACAUCUUAUCCCCUAUCCUUUGGAUGUGGGAUAAGAUGUCUUAGGGCCGGAGUACCCCUUUAACAUAUUUUGGUGUUUUUUUUUUUUUUUUUAUAAUUUUGCAUUCUACUAUCUAUUUUACAAAAUAAUGGACACUAAGCCUAAUGAUAAGCUAAUACUUCCUGCUAUGUACAUACAAAUAACUUUUCAACAAUCUCCUUAUCGCAGGUAGAAAUAUAGUUAAGUUGUUUAUAGAUAAGAUGUGAUUAGGCCAUUCACAAUAGGCGAUGGUUAGAGGUCAGAGCUACGAAGUUGCUGGGAGAGUUAAACAGGUAGCCUGCUGUAACCAUUACUUGAGUUAAGCUUUAAAAACAGCUGAAAAGUCUUUUCAUGAUUCUGUUAAAGAGAAAACUCUCACUUUUUUUUUUUUUUUUGCAGCUUGAGAAAUAUUGCCUAGACUUUAAAUAGACUAAGACAGUGAAAUGCUUGCCGAAUGAUGACAUCAGUUUAGAAUAGAUAAGCAUGCAGUUGUAUUGUCAGACACUCUGGCUUAUGUCCACAUGUUCAGAAAGCAAUUGAGAAAUAUUGUCUAGGGUCAGUGUCCCAUGAGAGUUUAUCAUCAGAAUCACACCACUAGGGGUCCCCAUACCUACUGGUACACAAACUAGUCCUGCAGCAGUCUCAGGCUUGUCCAUAAGUCAUGGACAAGAAAUAACUCAUGGACAAGGUUGGAUGAGCAGAUAAACCAAUCAGCUCCCACCACUACAAGGUAGGGACACACCCCCUUCCCCUCAUAGGAUUUUUAACCUUGUGAGCUAAUGAAAAGAUGUAAAAUAAAAUUUAAAAUAAAGGACAUUCACAAUAGAGCUACUAAAGUGUCUUGCAGUAAUACACAAGGAAUCCCCUCUGAAAGAGCUUCCUGGAAUUAUCACCUGAGAGGUGAUGGUCAGUGCUCAACUCCUUUCUCUGCUCCAUGGAAUGACCUCUGCACAGGUCACAGAACAUACCUAGAAACCUCUCCCAUCCAAGUGAAUAGUGUCUGUUCCAGCUUUGGUAAGACAGAUGCCUUAAUGAUAAUGUACUAAAAAUUACAGGAACACUGAUGAAAAUCUGUUCAGCUGUUUCAGAGAUAUUCAUCUUGUUGCUAAUGUGGUAAUGACUUCUGCACUGGAGGGGGCUGCUGCUGUAUGUGCAAUGCUUCCCCCCACUUCGGAAGAAAUCCUGUCCCUUUGGCUGAUAACUCUUCCCCCUUCCCGGACAUGCUGAAAAAGAGGUGAUAAGUAUUUAAAGUGGGGCCCAAGUAUCAGCUGAAGAGGGUGUGAUUAUCCCUGAAACAGGCAGGAGAAAGCAUUGCACAUAUAGCAGCAGCCCACCUCCAUUGCACUUAGGAAGUCAUCAGUUUAGCAACAAGAUGGUAUCUCCAAAAUUGUUGCACCGUUUUUGCUGGUAAGAAGUACUGUACAUUCAGGUUAGUGCGGGGGAUCCUGCUGUCAGUUUCCCUUUAAACAAAAAAAAUGUGCAGACCGAAAAUAUGAUCUGAUUAGAAAAAAGAUCAUGUUUAAGUAUCUGGCUCUAAUUGGAAAAAAAUAUUCUAGGUAAUACGUUCUCUUUAAAUGGAUACAAGUUGCUGUGAAAUUACAUUUAGAGUUUUUAACUGUGAUAAGUGUGUGAAAGGAUCAAUAAAGUGUACUGGGAUGUUCAGUUACAGUACCAUCUACAGUGUAUUGCAACCAGCAAGCUUAUUAAGCCCUAAAUGUAAACUGCAACCAUCAAGCUUACUUCACAAUUGUUUAAUUCACAGUAAGUUCAUUCACUUUACCAGCUAGGUCUGUGACUGACUAUAAAGUGGAACCCUCGACCAGCUCUUACAUAUAGGCCCAUAAAAAGUAGGCUAACAAUCUUCUAAGAUUAUAUUCUGCACCACAAUCAGAUGUGUGUCCUUUUCUCUUUGU